GGGUCAGUAGGUUGGUCGUGCCACCGGUACGUACUGGUCUCACUGAUUCCUCCUUCCUGAAGAACCGUAAUGCCAUUAAUUUGGUGUUGCGGGGAAACAGGACUGUUACUUUGAAAAAAUUAGAGUGCUUAAAGCAAGCUAACGAUUGAAUACAUUAGCAUGGAAUAAUGAAAUAGGACGAUCGAUCCUAUUUUGUUGGUUUCUAGGAUUGACGUA
rnacentral:rRNA from 1 species